rnacentral:miRNA from 1 species
CUCAAAAUUACGGGCUACCAAUGCAAGUAGCCCGUCGUUGAAAUUUUUUCUAAGUCUUUUUCAAAUGGUCACUUACGAAAGACUUAGAAUAUUUUCGACAAUUUAUCUCAUUUUAUUAUAGUUUAUACUACACUUAGAAAAAAAUUCAACCACGGGCUACUUGCAUUGGUAGCCCGUGAUUUUGAG